rnacentral:rRNA from 1 species
CAAGCCUGAUCCAGCCAUGCCGCGUGAGUGAUGAAGGCCUUAGGGUUGUAAAACUCUUUCACCGGAGAAGAUAAUGACGGUAUCCGGAGAAGAAGCCCCGGCUAACUUCGUGCCAGCAGCCGCGGUAAU